UCGUUCUCAACCAACGGAGGGAUUCGUUGGCUUGGAGUUGGGAGUUGCUGGCUUCGUUCAGCUGUCCUGAAAGACAUUAGGCUGACGUGCACGGCUUUCAGGCGUGAUAAUGAUCGCCUUGGCUGGAGCGUGGCUUGAACUAUCUUUUACCCCCCUUGA
rnacentral:misc_RNA from 1 species